rnacentral:rRNA from 1 species
UACGUAGGGUGCAAGCGUUGUCCGGAAUUAUUGGGCGUAAAGAGCUCGUAGGCGGUCUGUCGCGUCGAAUGUGAAAACCCGGGGCUCAACUCCGGGCCUGCAUUCGAUACGGGCAGACUAGAGUUCGGUAGGGGAGUCUGGAAUUCCUGGUGUAGCGGUGGAAUGCGUAGAUAUCCGGAGGAACACCGGUGGCGAAGGCGGCUUCCUGGACCGACACUGACGCUGAGGCGCGAAAGCCAGGGGAGCGAACGGG